rnacentral:rRNA from 1 species
UACGGAGGUUGCAAGCGUUGUUCGGAAUGACUGGGCGUAAAGGGAGCGCAGGCGGCCAAGUCAGUCUGAAGUGAAAGCCCGGGGCUUAACCCCGGAAUAGCUUUGGAUACUGCCUGGCUUGAGUGUGCGAUAGGAAAGCGGAAUUCCAGGUGUAGCGGUGAAAUGCGUAGAUAUCUGGAGGAACACCGGUGGCGAAAGCGGCUUUCUGGCGCAUAACUGACGCUGAGGCUCGAAAGCGUGGGGAGCGAACGGGAUUAGAAACCCUAGUAGUCC